rnacentral:rRNA from 1 species
AACGAACGCUGGCGGCAUGCCUAACACAUGCAAGUCGAACGAAAGCUGCGGGUCUAGUGGCGGACGCGUGCGUGACCCGGGGGGACAUGCCCUUGGGUUUGGCAUAACUCCCCGAAUGGGGUCCUAAUACGGGAUCAUAUAUCCGAACCAAAGAUUUGUCGCAUUUGGGUGGGCCCGCGUUGUAUUAGCUUGUUGGUAGUGUAAAAGCCUCCCACGGCGAGGAUCCGUAGCUGGUUAGUGAGGAUGAGCACCCACACUGGGACUGAGACACGGCCGAGAAUCUUACGGGAGGGAGCAGUGGGUAAUAUUGGACAAUGGGCGGAAGGAUGAUGGAGCAAUGCCGGGUGAGUGAUGAAGGCCGGGGGGUUGUAAAGCUCGUUUACCCGGGAUGAUAAUGACGGUACCGGGAGAAUAAGCACCGGCUAACUCCGUG